rnacentral:rRNA from 1 species
AAUGGCGGGCACACCGUCUUGCGAGUGCCCGAUUCCGUCAGAUCUCGGAAGUUAAGCAGGGCCUGGCCUGGUUGGUACUUGGAUGGGAAACCACCUUGGAAGACCAGGGGCCGUUAGCC